ACGAACGCUGAUGGCGUGCCUCAUACAUGCAAGUCGAGCGCGUAGCAAUACGAGCGGCGGACGGGUGAGUAACACGUAAACAAUCUGCCCUCAAGUGGGGAAUAACUAUCCCAACGGAUAGCUAAUACCGCAUAAGGAUGGAGGUGGCAUCACCUCUUCUCGAAAGGCUUCGGCCGCUUAAGGAUGAGUUUGCGUCCCAUUAGUUUGUUGGCGGGGUAACGGCCCACCAAGACUACGAUGGGUAUCCGGCCUGAGAGGGUGUACGGACACAUUGGGACUGAGAUACGGCCCAGACUCCUACGGGAGGCAGCAGUAGGGAAUUUUGCGCAAUGGGGGAAACCCUGACGCAGCAACGCCAUGUGUGGGAUGAAGCAUUUCGGUGUGUAAACCACUGUCAGCAGGGAAUAAAAGGUCCUCACGGACAUUUGAAUGUACCUGCAAAGGAAGCCCCGGCUAACUUCGU
rnacentral:rRNA from 1 species